CCUACGGGAGGCAGCAGUGAGGAAUAUUGGUCAAUGGACGAGAGUCUGAACCAGCCAAGUAGCGUGAAGGAUGACUGCCCUAUGGGUUGUAAACUUCUUUUAUAAAGGAAUAAAACGAGGCACGUGUGCCUUUUUGCAUGUACUUUAUGCAUAAGAAUCGGCUAACUCCGUGCCAGCAGCCGCGGUAAUACGGAGGAUCCGAGCGUUAUCCGGAUUUAGUGGGUUUAAAGGGAGCGUAGAUGGGUUGUUAAGUCAGUUGUGAAAGUUUGCGGCUCAACCGUAAAAUUGCAAUUGAUACUGGCAGUCUUGAGUACAGUUGAGGGAGGCGGAAUUCGUGGUGUAGCGGUGAAAUGCUUAGAUAUCACGAAGAACCCCGAUUGCGAAGGCAGCUUACUAAACUGUGACUGACAUUGAUGCUCGAAAGUGUGGGUAUCAAACAGGAUUAGAUACCCCAGUAGUC
rnacentral:rRNA from 1 species